GAUCAUGGCUCAGGACGAACGCUGGCGGCGCGCCUAACACAUGCAAGUCGAACGGAGCUUAGAGAGCUUGCUUUUUAAGCUUAGUGGCGAACGGGUGAGUAACGCGUGAGUAACCUGCCCUAGAGUGGGGGACAACAGUUUGGAAACGACUGCUAAUACCGCAUAAGCCCACGGUACCGCAUGGUACUGAGGGAAAAAGGAUUUAUUCGCUUUAGGAUGGACUCGCGUCCAAUUAGCUAGUUGGUGAGGUAACGG
rnacentral:rRNA from 1 species